GAUGAACGCUAGCUACAGGCUUAACACAUGCAAGUCGAGGGGAAACGACAUCGAAAGCUUGCUUUUGAUGGGCGUCGACCGGCGCACGGGUGAGUAACGCGUAUCCAACCUGCCCACCACUUGGGGAUAACCUUGCGAAAGUAAGACUAAUACCCAAUGACGUCUCUAGAAGACAUCUGAAAGAGAUUAAAGAUCUAUAGGUGAUGGAUGGGGAUGCGUCUGAUUAGCUUGUUGGCGGGGUAACGGCCCACCAAGGCGACGAUCAGUAGGGGUUCUGAGAGGAAGGUCCCCCACAUUGGAACUGAGACACGGUCCAAACUCCUACGGGAGGCAGCAGUGAGGAAUAUUGGUCAAUGGGCGAGAGCCUGAACCAGCCAAGUAGCGUGCAGGAUGACGGCCCUAUGGGUUGUAAACUGCUUUUAUAAGGGAAUAAAGUGAGUCUCGUGAGACUUUUUGCAUGUACCUUAUGAAUAAGGACCGGCUAAUUCCGUGCCAGCCGCCGCCGUAA
rnacentral:rRNA from 1 species